CCCUUGUGGAGGAGGACGCCGAAGGUGGGGCUAAUGACUGGGGUGAAGUCGUAACAAGGUAGCCGUACCGGAAGGUGCGGCUGGAUCACCUCCUAACAGGGAGACAACAAAAUGUAAUAUAUUAAUUUUGUCACCUUAGGUCGAUCGGUAUCUCAGAUUCUUAAUUUUUAAGAAUUUCAGUUUCUAAGUUUUUUCUAGGUCACACCCAUCACUUUUUCCUGGGCCAUUAGCUCAGGUGGUUAGAGCGCACCCCUGAUAAGGGUGAGGUCCCUGGUUCAAGUCCAGGAUGGCCCAUAUCUCUAUGUUGGGGGUAUAGCUCAGUUGGUAGAGCGCCUGCUUUGCAAGCAGGAUGUCAGCGGUUCGAGUCCGCUUACCUCCACUGAAUACCACCUCUUACAUAUUGUAAAAGAUGGAAAUUGUGUUGAUUCGUGUCCUAAUUUGCUCUGAGCGAAUCUAGCUUCAUAUUUUAUUUAAUAAAAUAAGAUGCUGGACUCAUUGAAUUUUAUUCAUUGUUUUUCAGAGAACCUUGACAACUGCAUAGAUUUUUUUUGAAGACAAUAAGCAUCUUUAAUGAUGCAGAUUUAUUAUUUGUGCGAAUGCAUUAAAUAACAAUUCUAUUAAGCUGAUGCUUCAAUUAUUGAAGUUAUUGGUCAAGCUACAAAGGGCUCACGGAGGAUACCU
rnacentral:misc_RNA from 1 species